rnacentral:rRNA from 1 species
GUGUCAGCAGCCGCGGUAAUACGUAGGUGGCAAGCGUUAUCCGGAAUUACUGGGCGUAAAGCGUCCGCAGGUGGUUGUCUAAGACUGACGUGAAAGCGCCUGGCUUAACUGGGCGAGGUCGUGGGUGACUGGACGACUGGAGGCAAGAAGAGGGGUGCAGAAUUCCCGGUGUAGUGGUGGAAUGCGUAGAGAUCGGGAGGAAUACCAGAGGCGCAAGCGGCACCCUGGUCUUGGCCUGACGCUGAGGGACGAAAGCGUGGGGAGCGAACGGGAUUAGAAACCCGGGUAGUCC